GAGCGCAGCGCUUCGCUUCGCUUCGCUCAGUGUCCGCCAUGGCCCGCACGCCUCUCCUCCUCCUCCACCUCCUCCUGGCGCUCUGCACAGGUUUCGUGAGGUCUGCGCCCACUCAGCAGCCCUCGGCGUCUGUAGCCCUGGGCCAGACGGCCACACUCACCUGCUCCGGGGUUAGCAGUAGCUAUGCUACUGCCUGGUACCAGCAGAAACCCGGCCGGGCCCCUGUGCUGGUUAUAUACCAGAAUGACAAGCGACCCUCCGGGAUCCCCGACCGGUUCUCCGGCUCCAAGUCCGGGAGCACAGCCACGCUGAAAAUCGCCGGGGCCCAGGCCGAGGACGAGGCCGAUUAUUACUGUCAGGACUAUGAUAGCAGUUAUGGUACUCACAGUGACACAGGUUUCGUGAGGUCUGUGCCCACUCAGCCGCCCUCCGCGUCUGUGGCCCUGGGACAGACGGCCACACUCACCUGCUCCGGUGGUAGCUAUGUCAACUGGUAUCAGCAGAAACCCGGCCGGGCCCCGGUGCUGGUUAUAUACGAAAAUAAGAAGCGACCCUCCGGGAUCCCUGACCGGUUCUCCGGUUCCAAGUCCGGGAGCACGGCCACGCUGACCAUCGCCAGGGCCCAGGCCGAGGAUGAGGCCAAUUAUUACUGUCAGGAGGAUAGUAGUGCUCCUCACAGUGACACAGGGUGA